rnacentral:ribozyme from 1 species
UUCCCAACGAUUUCUAUCCCUACCUCCGCGUGGCACCAGACGAGCUGCGAGCAACCAAUCAGCUCGGGUAACCAACCCAGGCAGGAGUAUUGGUCGUUUGCUAACAGGGAAGG